rnacentral:rRNA from 1 species
CCUACGGGUGGCAGCAGUGGGGAAUAUUGGACAAUGGGCGAGAGCCUGAUCCAGCCAUGCCGCGUGUGUGAAGAAGGCCUUCGGGUUGUAAAGCACUUUCAGUGGGGAAGAAAGCCUUGGGGCUAAUACCCUCGAGGAAGGACAUCACCCACAGAAGAAGCACCGGCUAACUCCGUGCCAGCAGCCGCGGUAAUACGGAGGGUGCGAGCGUUAAUCGGAAUUACUGGGCGUAAAGCGCGCGUAGGCGGUCUGAUAAGCCGGUUGUGAAAGCCCCGGGCUCAACCUGGGAACGGCAUCCGGAACUGUCAGGCUAGAGUGCAGGAGAGGAAGGUAGAAUUCCCGGUGUAGCGGUGAAAUGCGUAGAGAUCGGGAGGAAUACCAGUGGCGAAGGCGGCCUUCUGGACUGACACUGACGCUGAGGUGCGAAAGCGUGGGUAGCAAACAGGAUUAGAUACCCGUGUAGUC